AGAGUUUGAUCCUGGCUCAGGAUGAACGCUAGCGGCAGGCUUAACACAUGCAAGUCGAGGGGUAUAGUAGCAAUACUAGAGACCGGCGCACGGGUGCGUAACGCGUAUGCAAUCUACCUUUUACAAAGGGAUAGCCCAGAGAAAUUUGGAUUAAUACCUUAUAGUAUAUUUGAACGGCAUCGUUUAAAUAUUAAAGAUUUAUCGGUAAAAGAUGAGCAUGCGUCCCAUUAGCUAGUUGGUAUGGUAACGGCAUACCAAGGCUACGAUGGGUAGGGGUCCUGAGAGGGAGAUCCCCCACACUGGUACUGAGACACGGACCAGACUCCUACGGGAGGCAGCAGUGAGGAAUAUUGGUCAAUGGGCGCAAGCCUGAACCAGCCAUGCCGCGUGCAGGAAGACGGUCCUAUGGAUUGUAAACUGCUUUUAUACGAGAAGAAACACUACCUUGCGAGGUAGCUUGACGGUAUCGUAAGAAUAAGGAUCGGCUAACUCCGUGCCAGCAGCCGCGGUAAUACGGAGGGUACUAGCGUUAAUCGGAAUUAUUGGGCGUAAAGAGUUUGUAGGCGGUAUAGUAAGUCAAGUAUAAAAUCUUUAAGCUUAACUUAAAAUAUGUAUUUGAUACUACUUUAACUUUGAGUUUAUUAGAGGGUUGUGGAAUUUUCAGUGUAGCAGUGAAAUGCGUAGAUAUUGAAAGGAACAUCAAUGGCGAAGGCAGCAACCUGGGUAUAAACUGACGCUAAAGAACGAAAGCAUGGGUAGCAAACAGGAUUAGAUACCCUGGUAGUCCAUGCUGUAAACGAUGAUUGCUAGAUGUUGGUAUAAAAUAUUUAUAUUAGUAUCUGAGCUAACGCAUUAAGCAAUCCGCCUGAGUAGUACGGUCGCAAGAUUAAAACUCAAAGAAAUUGACGGGGACCCGCACAAGCGGUGGAGCAUGUGGUUUAAUUCGAAGAUACGCGAAGAACCUUACCAAGGCUUGACAUGUUAUUUAAGAUAUUAAGAGAUUAAUAUUGUCAUUUAGUUGGAAUAAUACAGGUGCUGCAUGGCUGUCGUCAGCUCGUGUCGUGAGAUGUUGGGUUAAGUCCCGCAACGAGCGCAACCCCUGUUUAUAGUUGCCAUCAUUAAGUUGGGCACUCUAUAGAGACUGCCAACGUUAAGUU
rnacentral:rRNA from 1 species